rnacentral:misc_RNA from 1 species
ACCACUUCCACCCAUCUACCUGGAGCGCUGCCUCACGCCGCUCAGCCUGGGCAGCAUGAGCAGCCUGCACGACGUGCUCAAGGUACACUACCUCACCCGGACCCACCCUGUCGCUGUAGAUGCAUUUUUAUUAUUAUUAUUUUUUAUUUUUUAUAAUUGGAAUAAAUGUGUCAUAUAGAGUGGCGUGUUUUGUAAUUUUAAUUAUACGGAUACGGUUAGCGAUAUUUUUACUCUCUUGGAUAUCCGUAUAUGAAAGUAUGAAUAUCCACACAUCAGGUAUAUGUGUUUAUUUAUACACACGUAAUAUUUGUAUAUCCUUGUGUUUAGAUGGGCACGGACGUAGGCGACGGCGCGCAGUCCGAAGACAGCAGCGGGGCGUCACCACCGCACCCCUCGGAGCCCUGAUGUUUACUCUUUAAGAAACUAAAAGGCCCGUGGCGUCAAAAAAGUGGGGUCUGAAAUCGUGUGAAACAGUAAUGCUGACCUCACAGAAGAACGUAUCUUGUGAGAUGAAAGACAAGAUAUAAAAACUCCAGUUACGUGGCCGAGCUGACAACCUUUUAUUGAAGUUUAUUAGUGAAUAACAUUUAAUUUAUUUAUAAUUAUUUUGUAUAAAAUUUUGAGAGGCUAUUCCGUUGUAUAUUCACUUCAACUUAGCUAAAACAUGUAGUGUUUUUUAUAUGUAUUUUACAACGACGAAUCUUCCAUGAUUACAUAUGUAUUAAGUGAAACAAUUAACGUAUUAAAAAAUAAGUUCACUAAUCUCUCUCUUAGGGCUUGUUUUACCGGUUUUGGGUAACGCUAUUUGACAGAUGACGGCAUCUAACAGAUAAAAGUUUUCAGCGUAUAACUUUUCUUUAGCAUCAAAUUUCACUAUAUUCAUGACAUAUUUCUAUUCGGAAAUGUGAACAUCUACAAGUUGUAAUUUGUCAAUUGAGCAGAAACAGUCUAUUCUAUAACUUAUUUGCAGGAAAAACUCUACCCACAACCUGUGAACUCGUCCCUGAAAGGAAAAAAAUAUAUAAAUUAGAAAGGGAUUGUUGAAUUUUCUAACAUUUCUAAUUAAAAUCAUAUUUAUAUAUUCAUUUUACGUUUUUACAAAAGUGUGAAAGUUCAUUUAAAUAUAUUCAUUGAGAAGUAUAAUUUCUCAUACAUAAAAUGUAUGAAAACAUUUUUUUUACGAUAAUUAAGAAAUUAAAACAGAUUUGUUCAUCUGCUUGAUGAAAUUUUUUUUAUUGUUCAGACUUGCGUACUGUACGUUAUAUUUGAUUAUAAAUAGUUACAAGUAUAAAUAAAUAAUGCAACUAUUAUGUAUUUAAAAUAUUUGGUUCCUAUAUAUAUUUAAAAAAUCGUUGCAAUAUUAUAUUAACACAAUAUAAUUUGGGGGAUUUAUUUACCCCGAAAACGAACUAGGCCGAGGAAUUUCUAAAUCACGUGGUCAUUAUGACCCCCCAUUAAAAAUAGGGGUCAAUAUGACUCCACGGCUGUAUCGGUACGUGUAAUAAAAUAAUACCUUCCAUUAUACGAUAAUAAUAUUUAGUAGUUAGUAUUAUAUUUAACCCGAAGUGGCUUGUAGGUCAAUUAAUAUAAAUGUUCAAUUUUAAUAACGUUUUUCUGUUUGUGCGCGGGAUUACAGACUGAUGAAGUUGGAUAAAAGCUACAUUAUGGGUAUAUUUCGAAAUAUAGGACAGUAUCCAAUAAUUAAAACAUUCUUAACCGAUUUAAGUAAAAGGUGGUUAUCAGUGUUGUCAUACAUGCAAUGCUACGUGCUAUCUUCGCCAAUUGUAAACCAAAAUUAAUGUUUCUUUCGAUUUUAAAUAUGUGAAAACUUCAGUAUGACCUGACAUUGGUUAGGUAGGCUUAUUUAUAUUCCCUAAUAUGCCCUAAAAUUUAGUAUAUUAAAAAAAUACUACCCUUAUAACUGACAAAAGGACAUAACACAUGCUCUUUGAAAUAUCACGCAGAGUGGUUUUUUAAUAAUAAUAAAAAAAACUUAUGAAAGUAAUUCUAGAAUAUAGCUUUAUAUAAUGGAGUUUGUAAUAUUGUUUUUUUUUUUUUAUACAUUCAAAUACUAAAUAAACACGUGUCGAAAAAUGUUAUGAAUAGUGUAUAAGUUUUAACCAAAACUAUUUAUUUUGCUUCUAAACAUUUAUAAUGCUUGGUUGCUAUAUUCAGAAAAGGGUUCGUUUUGCAUACGCAUAGUUUCAAGACAUGAAUUGUUUGAAAUUUAAUAUUUCGUUGACGCAGUUUGCAGUGACCUUCCCGGGUUUGUUUUUCACCCCGCGUCUGGGUGUAGUAUAUAUAUACUACACCCAGACACCCU